rnacentral:lncRNA from 10 species
CUUUUGUGCAGGCAUCUCGCUGUCUGCGCUGGGCACGGAGCGGCGCGCGCGCGCCCGUCUUUCCCUCGGCGGCCCCCGCGGCUCGGACCCGGGCCGGCAGACAGGCCAUCCAUCAUCCGCCCUCCUCCCGCGGAGCGCCGCAGCCGCCGCGGCCAAUCCGGCGGCAGGUGGGGCCGCACCUGCGCGACAGCCCGCCGCUUCCCUCCGCUCCCUUCGCCGCGCCUCGCGUGCUAGCGGUGCCCUUGUGAGCCACUGCGUUCUCCAAGGCCAGAACGGGACAGAUGGAGAAAUUGAGAUGAGAGCUCAUCCACAAGAUUACCCAUCAAUGAGCACCAAUAGCAACCAAAUCCACUAGAAGACUGGGAGCUUUUAAGUCAAGAAACUUACAUCAGUAUCAUCAUUCCAAGAAGCGGUAUCCAAGCUGUUUUAUCGAAAGUGCGCAUGGGAGAUGGUGCUGUGAGUGGGGAGUGAGUCAAAAACUCCGCUGGGGUGUACAAAAGUCUACUCAAAUGUCCACAGCAUCUGUGGGGGAUGGAGAAUAGUUGGAGGAUCUUUCUCCAGAAUCCUUCUGUUCUGUAGUACAAGUAUUACUCAUUAUAGACUAGCACGAAAAAUCAAGUGAAAUGCGAACUUAAGAGUUUAAAAAGAAUAAAUGGUGCUUUUCUGGCCUAUUAGUAAUAAAUUAAAUAAAAAUAAUUUUAAUUUGUAAGUAAUGAAUGCUAAUCUACAUUGUAUUAAUUGGGCUUAACCAGAGAGUUUUUGUUUACAUACAUUAGGCAAACAAACAAUAGGAAUGAGGAUUUUUAAUAAAGAAGGAAGCCAGAAACACACACACACAAGCACACACACACACACACACACACACACACACACACACACCAAGUAAGAGAAUACUAAAAGAUCAGAGAAAAUGUAAUUAUACUUAUCAAAAUGUUUUAAUGCAGUGGCCUAUUAGUUUCAGAAUAUAAAAUUUAUUUGAUUUGUUGAGCAACUUGGAGCUUAUUUUUUAAUCCUUUCAGAUAAUAGGAACUUGAAACAUACUUGGCUGUGUAUAAGAUAUAUGUGAUAUUAGAAAAUCAUAUAUAUCUGUUAAUAUAUAUUCAAAUAUAUUACUAAGCAAAAAUAUAUUUACAUGUUUAUAUCAAUGAUGCAAUUAAUAAAUGUUUUCACAUCCUGUGUCUCAAUUUAUCCUUACAUAAAACAAGUGAGUUACUUAUUCUUUAACUUCUCUAGGCAAAUUUCAAAUAUUUUCUGAAUAUAACUACAGAAUGCUUGGUUUGUGUCUCUAUGAAAGGUCUUAACACACUCCUGCAAUGAAUUAUAUGCAUAUGGCUCUCCCAUACUGGGAAUGCCUAGAGGAGAGAAACUGUCUUCUUACCAUAUUUGUAUCUAUGGUUCAUGCCUGCUCCACAUAGACCCCUAGGUUUCACUAGAGAGAUCUCAAGACAGUAGGUUUGAAGUAAGAGAAUGGGAGGAUUUAGAGGCAUCUCGACUAUACUGAUAUACUCUGCAAUCAGCUUGGCAUCUGGGAAAUGUUUUGCUGUCUGCUUCAUCUCCAGUGCCUUGAACAGUACAUGUUUCUCUGGAGCCCCUGCAAGGUUUGUUGAAGGAGGGCAUACAUCAGGUAUUCCAUAAUUUAGCAACAUUCCAUAAUGUGGCUGCUAGUAAAUGGUUGGUUCAGGAUUUGAACCCAGGUCCUCUGUGUCAUGUUCUAAAUGUUGGGAGAAUAAAUCCCUCCCUUGUCUCAGUGAAGAUUUCUAAGCUGCCCUGGGUUGUUGUGUAUAGGUGUUUAGCUUAUGGGAUGGGACUGGAAGGUGGUGUAGGGACACAAAAGGAAUUAAACCAUGUAAGUUCACCUUGGUUGGCAUUUUCAUUUCUCCUUUGGAUAUCAAGCCUGAACAAUGAUUCUCAAAGAUAUGUAUUAAAUUCAAUAAGGAUUUACUACUACUGCUCACCUAUUAAGUGCGAGGAACAGUUGCACUUAGUAGGAAUAAAGAGGUAGCUGGCACAAACUAUUCUGCCUGUUUUUUGUUUUUGUUUUUCGUUUGUUUGCUUGUUUGUUUUUUCGACAGAGUCUUGCUCUGUCGCCAGGCUGGAGUGCAGUGGCGCGAUUUUGGUUCAUUGCAACCUCCACUUCCUGGGUUCAAGAGAUUCUCCUGCCUCAGCCUUCCAAGCAGUUGGGACUACAGGCGUGCACCACCAUGCCCAGCUAGUUUUUGUAUUUUUAGUAGAGACAGGGUUUCACCAUGUUGGCCAGGAUGGUCUCAAUCUCUUGACCUCAGGUGAUCCGCCUGCCUCGGCCUCCAAAAGUGCUGGUAUUACAGGCGUGAGCCACCACGCCCGGCCUAUUCUGCCUGUUUGUUGACUGCAGUCAUAGUAUGUUCUUGCUCCUCCCUGAGCUACUUUUGCUUUGAAUAAAACCAUGGUGUCAUGGAAAGAACAAAAAGCUCCAGGGUAGGGCACAUGUUUUCAAACUUAUUACAAGAGGGAGCCUGGAUGAGAGUAUCUUAAUAUACCUUUUAGAGCUGAUGUGUCCUUCUCUCCUUGAGAUCCAAUUAAAUUUACUUUCUGUGAGUUACAUGAUAGAAAGUGUUACAUUGUACAUUUUAGCAAUUUCAGCUUAUUCAGAUCAAACAAAAAAAAUUAGUUGAUUUGACUAUCUACAGUUUAUCUCUGCCACCAAAGUAAAUAGCAUGGACUUGAAGGUGCCAUCCCAACUAUUGCCCUGACAUUCCAUCACCUGCAUUUUCCAGAAAUCAGGUGAACGAUAUUUUUCAGUCUUGCUGCAUUUCACCUCUGGAGUGUGUAGACCCAGUCUUAAUGUGCCUAAACCAAAUGAGAUGUGUUAUCCCUUCCAAUGGAACUAAGCACUUUAAGUAACUAAGGAAUUGGAGAGAGAGAGAGAGAGAGAGAGAGAGAGAGAGUUUUCUAAAUUCAGCAAGAAAAAAUAAGGUAGUCGAGUUGUGUUUCAAACCACUUCUAUAAUUGGGAGCUAAACAAAUUUGUGGAGAAAGUACUUGGUCAACUGUAUAAUUUCUUCUACUAUUAACUAUCCAAAACAAACAAUUAAUUAAAAACUAAACACAGAUAAUGAAGACUAUCUAUUUUCUAAAACUGUGAACUUUGGAAAGGGGCGUGCUUUAUGGAUAUCUGUAAGUCCAUAUUUGGACAACUAUCAGUUUAACUUUUAGUAAUCUAAAAUGCUCAACUUAAACUUCAUUUCCCACUUCUGCCAAAACCAGAAGAAUCAAAAAUACAGUGAAGGGGCAUGAGAUUUCCAGCUCACAUUUCCAAUCUCCAGAGGUUUGAAAAACUUCAUCUAUCUAUUUGAAUGCCAUGGUUGUGAUCCAAACUGAAUUUGAACUUUAGAUACUUAAGAGUGACCCAUCACUGUUUAAAAGUCCAAAGUGGCCACAGAGAACCCUACGGACCAUUACUUCAUUGUUUAUUCUUGUAAAUUAUAAAUAUUUUUAAAAAUUCCAAAUUAUGAAGUUCGAAGGGGAUAUUUUAUAUCUCUCAGCCACUGUCAUUUUCUUCCUCCCUUCCUUGGGUGUUGGCCAUGUAUCUAUGAGUCCAGUUGGUAAAACAAUCAGUAGCAUUGACAGGAUGAUGUACUCUGGUCCGAAACUACAUUUCUCAGCUUUUUCAGUUCUCAGGAGACAGCGGAAAAUGUACUUAGCAAACUCUAUUAUAAAGGUCCAUGUUGUUCCAAAUAUUUAGUUGUACUUAAAGUAAAAUCAUGACUUCAGAUGCCAAGUGAAAUAAAGCAUAAUUUUCACACUGUAUGAUGGAAAGACUAUUUAUCAUAUACAUGUCUUUCUCUUAGGAUAUUAUUGUGACAGUAUAGCAAUAUAAUGGUUUAUAAUUACAUAUAUACACACAAUAUAUUUUAUAGUGUAACUGCAUCAUUGUUCUGGACAGGGGUGAGAUAUGAAAGUCCUAAAAGCAAAUAUUGAGACUAUUAAGUUAUCAGAGUCUAAACUGUGGGAGUAGAAGAGAAACAGAAAGAAGAAAUGGAACUGUGAGAUAUUUCAAAGGGAAAAGACACUAUAUGCAUGAAGCAACCACUAUUAUUUAUUCUACAAAUAAGUAUUCUUGCCAUUACUUUACAGAUAAGGACCGUGAGGCUCAAUAAUUAGCAAAUAAUGGAGCAUGACUCAAUUCUGUAGGUAUAUUUGACUUAAAAAAAUGCAUCCUACUUUUUCAUAUUCAGUUCAAAAGAUUAAUGAUGGGACAAAGAACAAAGAAGAAUUUGGUACCACCAACUGAGGGCUGGUCUGGUGUGGUAGUUGGUAGCUAUAAUAAGUUAGUACAAACAUGUUCUGCUCAUGCUACAAGAAGCCAACUGGUGGAGACAUCAAGAACACAGUCAGAAAUAAAUAUAGCAAUUUAAUUUAGGAGAGAGCUGGGAGCUAUAGAUUGAGCCUCUACAUUUAAUUGGUAGCUAAAGUAAUGAGAACUGUAUGAAGGAGAAUUAGAGAUAAAAACUUCUCAAUAAAAAUAGUGGUAAGAAGAAGAAAUGAGAAAACAAUCUUGAGGAUUGUCAACACCAUGAAAGUCUUAGUUGUUUGAUUAUUGUUUUAAUAGUAGAGAUGGGGACAUUUUAUGUGUCAAAGCAGUGGUCCAAAUGAGUUCCGCAUCUCAAGAGUUUUGUAGAGUGUUAAUGGGUGUUACUCAAAGGGAAAAAAAGGAUAAAGUUAUAAACCAUUUAGGAGACCCUAAUAAAACUAAAGUGAAUGAGGUUCUUUACUAUCUUUAAUUGGCUAUAUUUGUCUUACAAAUAUCCAAAAUGGUGACAUGGUAUAUCAUAGUUCCUAAGAUUAUUUGACUACAGAGUCCAGAUUUCUUGGAGAAUCAUCUAGUGGUACAAUUAAUUGGGAGAAAAGAGCCAAUGAAGAGGGAAACUUGGAAUGUCAGAGAUGGCAGGAUACCCCUGAUGGAUCUUCUGAGGGGACAGCAAGGGAAGAAAUUAAGAAAUCAGAAAGGGAGGUCUUGAGGAUGAGAGGUAGGGCCUUCAGUUAGAAAUCACUACAUGGGCCAGGAACGGUGGCUCACGCCUGUCAUCCCAGCACUUUAGGAGGCUGAGGUGGGUGGAUCACCUGAGGUCAGGAGUUUGAGACCAGCCUGGCCAACAUGAUGAGACCUCAUCUCUACUAAAAAUAUAAAAAUUAGCUGGGCAUGGUGUCAGGUGCCUUUAAUCCCAGCUACUUGGGAGGCUGAGGCAAGAGAAUUGCUUGAACCCAGGAGGUGGAGGUUGCAGUGAGUCGAGAUUGCACCACUGCACUCCAGCCUGAGCAACAAGAGAGAAACUUCU